rnacentral:misc_RNA from 1 species
CUUUCUUUCUUCUUGUUUGCGCAUAUGCGUGUGCCUUUGUUAUCUUUUCUGAAAUAGCAGCAGAUGUGAGAAAUUUUUGGUUCAGAAAUUUUGUAUUUUUGCAUGUUUGAACUUUGAAUUGCUAGAGUUAUCUGUUAGUUAAGAUCCUGCACACAUUUAUGGACUCAAUUCUGCACCUAGUCAAUUCUGUUGACAUGAGGUGUUCAAUUUGCUUCUAUUGAAUGGAACCUUGCCCUAUUUGUGGGCUAUAUGGCUACUGCAAGCAUUGAGCAUCCUGAAAAAUGACUGAAGAAGGUUUAGUAGACGGUUUAGGGAACUGCUCCUAUUAGAUAGAAUUCUUCUUCUGACUUCUUGUUUGAUCUUGGCAUAGGUUGUGACUCUGAGUGAUAAUGCAAUAUAGCCCAAUUGUAUUAUUGGAUGACAUGUUAGAUCGCUCAAUUUAGUUGAGAUAUCAAUCUGAUUGCAAGUAAAUUUCAAGCCAUCAUUUUUUAUCAACUAAAGUUGUUCUGCAUAAUAUGAAACUUUUUAAAUGCUUUGGCGGUUGGCACCCAAUUGUAAUUCAGACACAGUUUCUGCCCAUAAUAUAUGAAACAGAAUGGCUGAACUAGGGUUGUUAUGUAGAACUGAAACUAAUUGAAGUUAUACACUUAUUGGUGAUUUUGAUCACCAAAUACCAAUCAGUGGAAGAAAUAAUCUAAACUGAUUAAAAAUGCUUAUGCAACAUCCAUGAACUUCAGGCGUGUGACAUUUAUAUGUGGGCAUGCUGGUGUUUGUGCUCUUGGUGCUGUUGUUGCAAAGCAUGCUGGUGAUGAAAGGCUACUAGAUCGCUACUUAACACAGUUUAAAGAGAAGAUCAAACUUCCUAGUGAUUUGCCAUAUGAGUUGUUGUACGGGAGAGCAGGGUUCUUGUGGGCCUGUUCAUUUCUCAACAAGCAUAUUGGUAAAGAAACCAUAUCUACUGCCCGCAGAAGAGCAGUUGUGGAGGAAAUAAUUAAGGCUGGGAAAAGAUUGGCACACAGAGACAAAUGCCCAUUGAUGUAUGAAUGGCAUGGAAAAAAGUACUGGGGUGCUGCCCAUGGAUUGGCUGGGAUCAUGCAUGUUUUGAUGGACAUGGAACUGAAACCGAAUGAAAUAGAGGAUGUCAAGGGUACACUACGCUACAUGAUUAAAAACCGUUUUCCCAGUGGUAAUUAUCCUUCAAGUGAAGGAAGUGAAUCUGAUCGUCUCGUGCAUUGGUGUCAUGGUGCUCCUGGGGUUGCUCUUACCCUUGUGAAAGCGGCUGAGGUUUUUGGAGACCAUGAGUUUUUGCAAGCUGCUCUCGAUGCAGGGGAGGUGGUUUGGAACCGGGGUCUCCUCAAGCGAGUUGGCAUGUGUCAUGGCAUCAGUGGAAAUACCUACGUUUUUCUGUCACUAUACCGGUUAACUGGUAAUGUGGAGUAUUUAUACAGAGCUAGAGCAUUUGCAUGCUUUCUACAUGAUAGAGCACAAAAACUUAUAUCAGAGGGGAAGAUGCAUGGAGGUGAUCGCCCCUAUUCCCUGUUUGAGGGUGUUGGAGGAAUGGCUUAUCUAUUUUUUGACAUGAUUGAACCAUCUGAAGCCAGGUUUCCUGCUUAUGAACUUUAAUCCUGCAACUCAAUAGUUAAUGAGAAAGUAGAUGUGAAUAUUCCUUUAGUUUAUGAAACUUGAUGCUGUUUGUAUAAAUUUUCAAAGAUUUAGCUUCUUGAAAAUUUUGCUCUAGCAUUUUAAUUUAUUUGCAUGAGCAUAUUGUUGAGAUAUGUGACUGUGAUUAUGCGAAGGGAAUAAAUAAAUAAAUGAAACUCAAAUUCGAAGGAUGGAAGCUACGUGAGAAAUAUCUAAGUCAAAGGACCCUAUAGAACAUUUAUUUUAAGAUUUUGGAUUGAUUAUGGUGUUAAGUUCAUAUACAUGGAUCUCGCAUGGGACUUGAGCUUCCUUGCAUUGCAACAUAAAAAGUUUAAUUUCUCAACCUUACUUUCUGUCUAUGCUCAUGAAUCAUUCUUCUGUUUAGGAAAGAAAUGCCUUAUGUUGAUUCCAAUCUUCCUAAUUUGUAUAUUAAACAAGUGUAAUGUAACCACCGUUUAGUGUAGGAUUAAUGUUAAAAGUUGCAUUUGGGGCUAUAAAAUGCUUACUUUUAAAUGGCUACGAAAUAUUUUCAUUUCUUAAAGAGUUAUAUUUGCACUUUGGAACAAGGAUGAGUGAUUUUAUUGUUAGAAAAGUUACAAACAGGUCAUCUACUUCUACAAGAGAAUUGUUUACAGAAACAUCAAAACAUCAUCCUCUCCUCAUAAACAAGAGAAUUGUUUACAGAAUUCUUCUCACACUCAUAAAAAGAAGGACUGAGCUCUGCACUAACAUCAUCCUCUCCCGUGGCAAAGAUCAGUUGAUAAGAACUUGAAGCUUCUCAUCAAUUAAGCCAAACCAACGAGUUUCUCGCUAAUCUCCCAUACUUUACGAGCCUUGUCUGCAUCACUAGCUUCUUGGGAUAACUGGUUCUCAAAUGAAGCAGAGGUUUUGUUCCAGCUCCAGUACACACCUGAUUUUGCCAAGCUCGGAUCGCUUACGACCUGAGCAAGCCUUUUUCCGGCUUCAUCUUCGGAGACAAAACCCUUGGUGAUAUACUUCUGGAACGGAGGGAAUAGAAGCCUGAACAAAGGAAUGUGUUCCCUGAACAAGCCUGUUGUGGCAAUGCAACCGGGAUAAAGGGAAGCAAAUGUGAUGCCUGUUUCUUCAUGGAAACGCUUGUGGAACUCUUGCAUAGUGAGCAUAUUGCAGACUUUACUGUCCUUGUAGGCUUUGGCUCCAUCGAAUUCCCCACCAUCGAUCAUGGAAGAGCUGUUUAGCCCAGUCAAGCCUCCUGCAAGCCCCCUCAAGUCUCCAAGAUUGGCCUUUGGAGGUACAUUCCCAGCCAAGGUAUUUGUGUUCCCAGUAAUUGAGCCAACAAUUAUGAGUCUCUUUGAUGGGUAAUCAGAUUUAUUGAGAUCAUCAAGCAGCAAACGAGAAAGAAGGAAGUGACCAAGAUGGUUAGUUCCAACACUAAGUUCGAAUCCUUCAGCAGUGAAAGUAGGAUCCUUGGCUGUUGGCAGGUAAACAGCAGCAUUGCAAACCAGAACAUCAAGUGGCCUUCCUGAUCGCCUGAAGUUAUCAACAAAUUGGCGGACACUGUCAAGGGAAGAAAGGUCCAAGUGCAUAAUGGUGUAGUUUUCCUUGGCAAUUCCAGCAGAUUUGGCAGCUCUUUCUGCCUUGAGGAAGUCCCUGCAGGCCAUAAUUACGUGCCAUUUUCCAGUUUCAGCUAAGGCCUUAGCUGUGGCUAGACCCAAUCCAGAAGAGGCACCAGUUAUCACAACACUGCCCUUCCUUAGGGUUUUCUUGCCCUCGGGGACAGCCCUGUUGACUGCUGGACUUGCUGUAGCCAUUGUCUGGGCUCUUAUAGCCCCAACUCUUUGGUUUGACUCCCUCUUGGACCUCGGCGCAGAAGAGCUAAAGUCAGCUUUGAGAUGGUCUGAGAGUGAAACUCCAAAUAAACUUGAGUCCUUGAAAGAAGCAUUAGAUUUAGCCUCUUUGGGGACAACAAAGCCAGAGGAAACCAAAGAAGCAGCCUGAAGAGCCAUUAUAACUGGCAAAGAACUCUGAAUUGGGGCGUGAGUGUGAGAUUCUUUCUGAUAAGUGGUGUCUGAAGUGAAGAAGAGAGUGUUUGAAAGAGAUAUCAUAUGAUAUGCAUGUAUAUAGAGUGACGGUGAUGUCUGUUUAGGACAAAGAAAAGGAGAAGGGUGGUCUUGGAUAUGAGAGGAUAAGAUAAUUAGGAGUACAUGUGUCUGCCACAUCACUUCAAAGCAACCAGUGAGAGUGUGAAUUUUAGAUUUCUAUGGCAGAUUGUUGAUAGAUAAAUUAUGGAAAAAUCAAUGAGUUGCACAAUAAGGGUAAGGGAUAUUUGGGUCCGAUUCCCAAAAAGCUCCAAUCCUAG